GACGUAGGGCGCGAGCGUUGUCCGGAUUUAUUGGGCGUAAAGGGCGCGUAGGCGGCCAUGCGUGUCUUCCGUGAAAUCCCUCGGCUUAACCGAGGACGUGCGGAAGAAACUGCAAGGCUCGAGUCCGGAAGAGGGGGGCGGAAUUCCCAGUGUAGCGGUGAAAUGCGUAGAUAUUGGGAGGAACACCAGUGGCGAAGGCGGUCCCCUGGGCCGGAACUGACGCUGAGGCGCGAAAGCGUGGGUAGCAAACGGG
rnacentral:rRNA from 1 species